rnacentral:rRNA from 1 species
CUACGUGCCAGCAGCCGCGGUAAUACGGAAGGUCCGGGCGUUAUCCGGAUUUAUUGGGUUUAAAGGGAGCGUAGGCCGGAGAUUAAGUGUGUUGUGAAAUGUAGACGCUCAACGUCUGACUUGCAGCGCAUACUGGUUUCCUUGAGUACGCACAACGUUGGCGGAAUUCGUCGUGUAGCGGUGAAAUGCUUAGAUAUGACGAAGAACUCCGAUUGCGAAGGCAGCUGACGGGAGCGCAACUGACGCUUAAGCUCGAAGGUGCGGGUAUCGAACAGGAUUAGAUACCCUGGUAGUCCGCACAGUAAACGAUGGAUGCUCGCUGUUGGCCUUUUUGGUCAGUGGCUUAGCGAAAGCGUUAAGCAUCCCACCUGGGGAGUACGCCGGCAACGGUGAAACUCAAAGGAAUUGACGGGGGCCCGCACAAGCGGAGGAACAUGUGGUUUAAUUCGAUGAUACGCGAGGAACCUUACCCGGGCUUGAACUGCAGCUGAACGAUUCAGAGA